UAGGGAAUCUUCGGCAAUGGACGGAAGUCUGACCGAGCAACGCCGCGUGAGUGAAGAAGGUUUUCGGAUCGUAAAGCUCUGUUGUAAGAGAAGAACGAGUGUGAGAGUGGAAAGUUCACACUGUGACGGUAACUUACCAGAAAGGGACGGCUAACUACGUGCCAGCAGCCGCGGUAAUACGUAGGUCCCGAGCGUUAUCCGGAUUUAUUGGGCGUAAAGCGAGCGCAGGCGGUUAGAUAAGUCUGAAGUUAAAGGCUGUGGCUUAACCAUGGUACGCUUUGGAAACUGUUUAACUUGAGUGCAGAAGGGGAGAGUGGAAUUCCAUGUGUAGCGGUGAAAUGCGUAGAUAUAUGGAGGAACACCGGUGGCGAAAGCGGCUCUCUGGUCUGUAACUGACGCUGAGGCUCGAAAGCGUGGGGAGCAAACAGGAUUAGAUACCCUGGUAGUCCACGCCGUNNCGAUGAGUGCUAGGUGUUGGGUCCUUUCCGGGACUCAGUGCCGCAGCUAACGCAUUAANCACUCCGCCUGGGGAGUACNACCGCAAGGUU
rnacentral:rRNA from 1 species